GACGAACGCUGGCGGCGUGCUUAACACAUGCAAGUCGAACGGAAAGGCCCUGCUUGCAGGGUACUCGAGUGGCGAACGGGUGAGUAACACGUGGGUGAUCUGCCCUGCACUUCGGGAUAAGCCUGGGAAACUGGGUCUAAUACCGGAUAGGAGCCAUUUUUAGUGUGAUGGUUGGAAAGUUUUUUCGGUGUAGGAUGAGCUCGCGGCCUAUCAGCUUGUUGGUGGGGUAAUGGCCUACCAAGGCGGUGACGGGUAGCCGGCCUGAGAGGGUGGACGGCCACAUUGGGACUGAGAUACGGCCCAGACUCCUACGGGAGGCAGCAGUGGGGAAUAUUGCACAAUGGGCGCAAGCCUGAUGCAGCGACGCCGCGUGGGGGAUGACGGCCUUCGGGUUGUAAACUCCUUUCGCUAGGGACUAAGCUUUUUGUGACGGUACCUAGAUAAGAAGCACCGGCUAACUACGUG
rnacentral:rRNA from 1 species